GACGAACGCUGGCGGCGUGCUUAACACAUGCAAGUCGAACGGUAAGGCUCCAGCUUGCUGGGGUACACGAGUGGCGAACGGGUGAGUAACACGUGGGUGACCUGCCCUGCACUUCGGGAUAAGCCUGGGAAACUGGGUCUAAUACCGGAUAGGACUGCACCGUGAGGGUGUGGUGGAAAGUUUUUUCGGUGUGGGGUGGGCCCGCGGCCUAUCAGCUUGUUGGUGGGGUAAUGGCCUACCAAGGCGGCGACGGGUAGCCGGCCUGAGAGGGUGGACGGCCACAUUGGGACUGAGACACGGCCCAGACUCCUACGGGAGGCAGCAGUGGGGAAUAUUGCACAAUGGGCGGAAGCCUGAUGCAGCGACGCCGCGUGGGGGAUGACGGCCUUCGGGUUGUAAACUCCUUUCACCAUCGACGAAGGGUUUCUGACGGUAGAUGGAGAAGAAGCACCGGCUAACUACGUG
rnacentral:rRNA from 1 species